rnacentral:tRNA from 1 species
GGGCCGGUAGUUCAACCCGGUAGAAUGCGCCCUUGGCUAGGGUGAGGCUGCGGGUUCAAAAUUGUGGCAGACUGCCACACCCCUGCGCAAUGUGGGAUUUCGCUUUCGCUCAAUCCCACGGAACGGCUGCGCCGUUCUCGGGGUAUUAUCAGGCUGCCAGAAGGAAAGUCCCGCCCGGUCCA